CUUGGGGGGCGGGGGGGUCCCCUCAACCUGGAUUGCGAGAGGGUGAAGGCCAGGCUGAGGGACCCCACCAGUGCAGA
rnacentral:pre_miRNA from 1 species